rnacentral:rRNA from 1 species
UACAGAGGGGGCAAGCGUUAUUCGGAAUUAUUGGGCGUAAAGGGCGCGUAGGCGGCCUGGCAAGUGGAAGGUGAAAUCCCUCGGCUUAACCGAGGAACUGCCCUCCAAACUGCUUGGCUUGAGUCCGGGAGAGGUGAGUGGAAUUCCCAGUGUAGCGGUGAAAUGCGUAGAUAUCUGGAGGAACACCGGUGGCGAAAGCGGCUCACUGGAUCGAUACUGACGCUGAGGUGCGAAAGCUAGGGUAGCAAACGGG